GCCCGUAUAGCUUAGUGGUAGAGCAUCAGUCUUGUAAACUGAAGGUCACUCGUUCAAACCGGGUUGCGGGCA